GGGAGCAGAGGGGCAGUUGAGGGCCCCCCUGUAGCUCCAGGGGCCAUCGGGCCAGUGCCCCACCUGGCUGCCCUUUACAACCGGCCCUGAGUAUGGGUUUACAGGGGGGAAACUGCAUGAUAGCUUCUGUUUGCCAGUAAAGUUAUGUGAACCAUGCAAAUUAAAAGGAGAUGUGAGUAGCACCAAAUGCACAGUAAACUACAAUGUAGAUGAACCCUAAAUACAUCUGGUUUUGAAGGCUGCAUCAGGCUUCAGGCAUAAUUAAAAAAAAAACCAAACCUAGAAGAUAGCAAUGGAUAUGAACUUCAUGGGGAGACUCCAUGGUAAAAUGGCUAAAUGACAACUCAUCAGUUUAGUUGAAUACAAUUCAUUACUAUUUAUUUGAAUCUGAAUACAGAUAAUAGUUUCCUGUCGUUCUAUCACCAGUCUUUUGUAGUAAAAGGUUACUGGGCCUAUUUAACAUACAUUGAGAUUCUAAUUGAAUUAUCGCUGAUUGUACUUUUUGCAUGUUAUUGCCAUUCAAUCCCCCCUUUACAUUUUUCUCCUUAUACCUGCCAACUGAGAAUUAAUUCCAUGAAUCUGAAGAUAUGGGCUGUAGUUAAAGACAGCUUGUGCCAUAAUAAAUGUGUUAGUCUUUAUUGUGCCAUUGGAUACUUUUUUGUUUUUGCUGAAAUGGAUAAACAUGGCUAGCUCUCUGGAAGUUUAUUUGAUGAUAUGGGUACCAUUUGAGGUCUCCAUGUGAGAUUCUAGGUUCCAGCAUAAACACUAAAAAAGCAACAACAAAAAAGCAGUCUUACCUUUUUAAUAGAACCUAAAUCUAUGAUGGUAAUUCAGAUAUAAGGGCUGUAAUUACCAUGGAUAAGAUUAGUUACUUAUGGUUUCAACAUCUAUCCUGUGUUUGUGGGAGACUUCCCACAAUAUGUUGUGUUUUCAACAUCAGAAGUUCCAGCCUUCCCCUAUUAUUCACUCACAAGGAGAAAUAAAGUAUGUGAAUGAAUUGAUAAUGGACACGGAUGUAAUGGUCCAGAGUCACGGGGCUGCGUAGGUCAUAGACCAGUUCCUUUUUUGGAAGCAGGGUCCCAGCCAGGUCCCUAUGUAUGAGCCAAUCAGCAGGAAAAGAGAGUGUGUUAGCCACUGAGAAGAGUCCUUGUCCUUUCAUGCUGAUUGGAACCAAUCAGAGUGAAAGGAGUUGAGUCAGCCACUGAGAAGACUCUUUUCAGUAGCUAAUGCACAGCCUCCCCUUUCGUGCUGAUUGGCUGUUAGGGAUGUCUGUUGUGGUGGAGUGUAGACUCGUGAGACAAUGGGGAGAGCAAGGGAGACCAGGAAAGUGGAAAAGGGGUGUGGCUGUCAUGAAAGGAUCCUGCAUUUCUGAAUUUUGCAACUACACUACUGAGAUUCAUGGAUUUUCACAAGAGAAUAUCACAGUAGCUACUUGAGGGGACUCAGACUGGUGUGAAAGUAAGGAUUUUAGCAAGAAUCCUUUUAUUUCUCUUCUUAAUGUUUGUGUGAGUGAAGCACUGUAUGCGUUAUAUUUGACAUUAAUGAAAUGUCAAGACCAGUUUCUAGUACUCACAAUCAUUGUUUUCUAGUGUUCAUUUUGUCUUCAUUGGAAGAUGAGGACAAAUACAUUGCAGCCUAAGAAGGAAAAUAAAUAUUGAAGAUGGAAGCCAUGAAAAAUAAGCAUUGUGGUUGCUCAUAAACUUCAUUCUUUCACACCAAGGUUGGUUAUUCUAGUUGCCAGCAAUGGACAUUCUAAAAAUGCCAGCAUUAAUUAUUUAUUGCUCCUUGUUGCCUCAGCAUAGAAAAACAUAUGCUAUGUAUUUGUGUGUGCUUCUUAGAAAAUGAACAUGCACUAUCUUUCUGGGCGAAUACAUUCUUCCAUGUGGCACUGUAAAAUAUUCACGUUAAUUAAUUAAUUAAAAACGUACAUUUUAACAUUCAAAACCUUCAUAUAAAAACUUCAAAAGAAACACAAUACAGCUGACAAAUCAAAACAUCACACAAUAUGUAAAACAUAUAUUGCAGUUCCCAUUCCUUGGCACAGUUGUGAAACCAAGCUAUUAACAUAAUCAGCUAAUCGCAAUAAUGAUUUCUAAAAGAGCCAUCAAAUUAAAAUAGUGUCAGCCAUAAACCUUUUAAAAUCCUUUCUAAACGACCUUGGUUUUGAUGGCUGACUGAAGCAGUGAAGUGAUGGGGCCUGGCACACCUCAAUUGCACAGGCUGGGCACCAACACAAAAAAAGCCCUGCCGCUGGUUACCACCCACUGUGCUUCACAAGGUUGAAGGAUCUGGAGUAGGGCCUCAGAUGAUUACCAGAACAUGUGGUAAGAAUCAUACAGAAGAAGACAAACAUAUGCUGAACAAAGGUGCCAUGCCUAGACCACGCUGGCUAUGGAAACCAAGUUAAGAUUCUAAUAGUCCAUUUUCCAAUUCCUUGAAAGGAGCCCAUUGCCUAACAUUUCAGAAUGUUUGGCUCUUCUAAUAUGAAAACUGUUAAUAUCAAAAAACGUUUGGGCCCAGCCAAUGUGACUUUGCCCUUUCUAAGCCAGGACAGCAAUCUACAAUAUGUUUAUUUCAUCUAGCAAUGUUAAUGGAUUAUGGCUCUUUUUCUUUCCCAAUAAGAAAUCCUGUAAAUCAGUAAAAACAAAGAAAGAAUCAAGUAAGUUUUCAAAAGCUGCAUGCAGAUUUAGUAUCCCUUUAAAAAAAACAACACCAUCCUUCUAUCCUAGAAUUCAUCAUUUUAAUACAGGGGACUCCAGGCUCCUUGCAGAGGCUACACAUGCAGUUGUGUAGCAACAAAAAUAGAGGCAGGUAGAUAUUUUGCCCAGAGUAAUCUGGAGAUCUUGCUGCUUGACUAGUGCACUUUCCCACAGAGAACUAUGUCAUGCAAUAUUCAUGUCACCUUUGUUUCUUUUCCAAGUAAGAAAAUCCCAAAUGUCUGCCCAAGCCAACUGGGCGUGGCACAUUAAUACUAAGAUCCUGGAGCAGAAGUCCACAAAGCUACAGUUUUGUCUUUCAGUGGCUUCUCUGAUCUAAUCUCUCUCUUUUUUUAUUGGCCAUGUUCUCUUAUCUAACAGAUAUCAUGCCUAUAGAAAUGGAAAUGCACAUAGCUUAAGUCUGAAUGCAUUUUCUUUCUCGCCAGCACUGGUAACUUUGCGGCUGCUGUGUCUGUUUCUUUUUUUAUCACACAUAUGAAGGAAAAAGAUGCUUUGCAGGCUUGCCAGCUUGCCAUGAAGCAGCCAGAUGCUUGCAAACAUCUGGAUUCAGUGAGAGUGAAAUUCUUAAUCCUGAGUCUUUGGAACUGGGUGUUCAGACUCUGUUGCCCAGUCAGUAAUCAUUUACUUGGGAUAAUCAAAGCCAAAAGAAAAAUGGAGUUAGAAGGGCUUGUGCCAAACAUCAAGAGAUAACCGCAACCAUUCUGGAGCAAGGAAGAAAGCCUGAUCGGAGCACAUUCCUGUACUGCUCACUCAUCCAUUGAGACUUAAAAACUUCUGGGCAAUUCUGAAACAUCUAUGGCUAAAAUGGGCAGGCAUCAAGUGGCAACAACUACAUAGCCAAGUGCUGCUAAGACAGUGGGUGUGUUCCUGGACAACACAAGAGCUCAGGACUCUAAGCACUCUUGGAAGAAAGCAGGAAUAACACAAAUUCCAGAGGCCUUUGGAGACAAAGAGGAAUGCAAGUGAAGUCAGGUGGUUGAGUGCCGACAGGAAGGACUGGAACCACAGCAGGGUCACUAAGAAACAAGAGGGAGAUAUCAGCAUUCUCAGGUGAACUCCGAGCAUAGGAUGCAUUUUCCCUCAGUGCAACUGGAACCUUGUUUACCAAACUGUUAUGGGCCCAAGAAGACUCUAAAAUAAG